AGUGUGUGGGGCCCGCCAUGAACGUCCCCCCUGGAGUUUUUAGCCCCCCUACAUGUCCAUUCAGAGCCUCCAGCUGUUCAUCAAUCACAACUCAGGUUUCUGUGCCUAGCACUGGCUCCUGGAGGUUGGCCUUGGGGACUUCGGCUCAGUUUGACACUGAUGGCGUUUCCUUUCUGAGAAAGAAAGACUGCCUACCUGCGCACUGCUGGGGUGUAUUUGGGGACACGCUCCAUGGACUGAAUGAGCUUCUGAAAACAACAAGAACAAGAAGCCUACUGACCCUUGUACCAGGAUAUCUCAAAUCAGAGAUGCUUGUUUCAUGAAUCGUGCUUUACCACACUGUAAGGAGAGAGAAUUCUCCACCUCAG